rnacentral:rRNA from 1 species
AGUUUNNNNUGGCUCAGAUUGAACGCUGGCGGCAUGCUUUACACAUGCAAGUCGAACGGCAGCACGGACUUCGGUCUGGUGGCGAGUGGCGAACGGGUGAGUAAUACAUCGGAACGUGCCCAGUUGUNNGGGAUAACUACUCGAAAGAGUAGCUAAUACCGCAUGAGUACUGANNUUGA